AGCGACUAAGAUUUCGAUUUCUAUAAAGCACGUCCUCACUCUCUCCCGCACCUAACACAUCUUUAUUUCUCCUGUACCCUAUUCUUAAACCGACUUUACCUUUGUUGCGAUUCCCAAAAAAAAAAACUAAAAAAAUUAAUCAAAAUCUAAAAAUAAAAAUAAUAACCGAUGGUUAUGAUGAUGUUUAUCAAAUCCCAGUUUCCAAACACAAACAGAAAACCCUAAAAAACCGAACGUUCUCUUUUCCCUCUUCGCUUUUUCUCCCUCCCUUUCUUUCUUCGCAACUCCCAAAUCAACCCAAUCUCUCUCUUCCACUUCACUCUCCUUCGUCAGAUCCGUCAGAUCUGUAACCCUCCUAGCUCUGCUCCUCGCAAAUCCACACGAUUUCACUUCCAGAUCUAUUUCACGCGCCUCCAACCUGACUGCACGCGCCGCUGGUAUGGUUGUGAACGGAAGGCCUUUAAAGAGAAUGAAGAGGAGAGUCACCGCUGAUCUCUGCGAUUUUCUUACCUUCCCUUCCGGCUUUGAACCUCCCCGGGGACCUUUCAGGACUAACGUCAAGGCCUUUUUGAUGGAGCAUGCACUGUUCCCGCCGCCAACCUCGCUCUUCCCUCAUCUAAUGACCUGGCAGAUCUCCUUUCGAGUCGGCGAUCUGAAGGAAGGCCUCGAUUCGGCCCCUGCGGUUGCCUGUUUGGAUAUCGUUGAGGAGGAUGUCGCUAAAUCCAGAUCCGUGUACUGCGACCAGUGCCGAGUCGUUGGUGAGUUCACUCACCCCGAGUCAGUUGACGUCGAGUCAUUGCAAAAUUUUUUUCUUUCCGGUUUUUCUCCGGUUGCCAGUCGCUUAGGGCGGGAAAUCCAACGCUUCUGUCCUUUUUUUUAAUCCUUUUCCCGAAAAUCGAAAAAUUAAAAUGUCGCGUGUAAAUGAUUGUUUAUCUCAUGAGAUGGAGCGGGCGUCAUAAAUGAACACUUGUUGUUUUUUUGUUUGAUGGUUUCUUGUUAGAAGCUGGAGCUUGGAAAGACCCACAUAUCUUGGUAGGGAUACGGACAACGAGACAGCUAAAUAAACAAAAUGAGACGGUAAACAAGUGUGAGAAGUAGUGUUAUAUCGUGAGAAAACGGGGACGAAUUGGAACGGCUGUUACUUGUAGGCGUGGCUAAUGUGGGGCCCAGCCGACACUGACAUGUAAUUAGUGGAGGAUGCACGAGGCACUUGCACUGAUUUGAUUUGUUUAUUUAUUUUUGGUGGCAACCACUUUCAUCUUUGUCUUUUUGCGGUGGCAUAUUUGUGAUUUGGAUCGAGAUGCGUCCUUCUUAUAUUGUGGGAACGGACUUUCAUGAUGUUUGGCUUGCUUUGCUGUCAUGGGUUUCCUUGUAGUAUUGUCUAACGUUACUAUGCGCUUUUGCCAAGUCACCUAUACCUUAUUACCUCUCUUAUUGGAGGAUAAUCUUUGUUUAAUAAAAUAAUUGCAUUGCACUGCAUUUUAGUUGAGCCUCUUCAUGUUUUGGAGUCGGUAAAGAUGGCCUAAUGGUAUCAAUAUUCACUUUCAUUAACAAAAGAAACACUUAAUUAGCUGUUUAAUGCUGUCCAGUUGAGUUAAUCUUUUAUAUGUAUUGCCACCGGCAAUGUGGGACGCCAAUGAAUUUCUCAGGUGUUAUAUAAAUGUAUUAUGAUUAUUUUGAUGUUCCGGUUUCUUUUUCUAAUUACCGAUAUUCUAUUCCUUAAUCUUAUUAAUAAAAAUUUACCUUAAUUUAUAGGAUGGAGUGGGCACCCCGUAUGCUGCAAACGUUACCAUUUUAUCAUCAAGGCUGAUGGUAAUUCCAUUGGUGGUUAUCACAAACCGUGCACAUGCUGUGGAGAUGUCCUGCAUAUCUCAGAAUUGAGAUGUAAGACAUGCAACCAUGUGACGACUACGGAUGAUGUUGAAGAUUGGAUAUAUCAUCAGUUAGAAGACACCACUCAUCUUUUACACGGCGUUGUCCAUUCAAAUGGCUAUGGUCACCUUCUUAGGGUCAAUGGCAGA
rnacentral:misc_RNA from 1 species